AGAGUUUGAUCAUGGCUCAGGACGAACGCUGGCGGCGUGCUUAACACAUGCAAGUCGAACGGUGAAGCCCUUCGGGGUGGAUCAGUGGCGAACGGGUGAGUAACACGUGAGCAACCUACCCCUGACUCUGGGAUAACUCCGGGAAACCGGUGCUAAUACCGGAUACGAGCAGCGGCCUCAUGGUCUGUUGUUGGAAAGAAUUUUGGUUGGGGAUGGGCUCGCGGCCUAUCAGCUUGUUGGUGAGGUAAUGGCUCACCAAGGCGACGACGGGUAGCCGGCCUGAGAGGGCGACCGGCCACACUGGGACUGAGACACGGCCCAGACUCCUACGGGAGGCAGCAGUGGGGAAUAUUGCACAAUGGGCGAAAGCCUGAUGCAGCGACGCCGCGUGAGGGAUGACGGCCUUCGGGUUGUAAACCUCUUUCAGCUCCGAAGAAGCGAAAGUGACGGUAGGAGCAGAAGAAGCACCGGCUAACUACGUGCCAGCAGCCGCGGUAAUACGUAGGGUGCAAGCGUUGUCCGGAAUUAUUGGGCGUAAAGAGCUCGUAGGUGGUUCGUCGCGUCUGCUGUGAAAGUCCGAGGCUUAACCUCGGAUCUGCAGUGGGUACGGGCGGACUAGAGUGCGGUAGAGGAGAUCGGAAUUCCUGGUGUAGCGGUGGAAUGCGCAGAUAUCAGGAGGAACACCGGUGGCGAAGGCGGAUCUCUGGGCCGUAACUGACGCUGAGGAGCGAAAGCAUGGGGAGCGAACAGGCUUAGAUACCCUGGUAGUCCAUGCCGUAAACGUUGGGCGCUAGGUGUGGGGCCCUAUCCACGGGUUCCGUGCCGCAGCUAACGCAUUAAGCGCCCCGCCUGGGGAGUACGGCCGCAAGGCUAAAACCCAAAGGAAUUGACGGGGGCCCGCACAAGCGGCGGAGCAUGCGGAUUAAUUCGAUGCAACGCGAAGAACCUUACCAAGGCUUGACAUACGCCGGAAACACUCAGAGAUGGGUGCCCCGCAAGGUCGGUGUACAGGUGGUGCAUGGUUGUCGUCAGCUCGUGUCGUGGGAUGUUGGGUUAAGUCCCGCAACGAGCGCAACCCUCGCGCCCUAGUUGCCAGCAUUCAGUUGGGCACUCUAGGGGGACUGCCGGUGAUAAGCCGAGAGGAAGGUGGGGAUGACGUCAAGUCCUCAUGGCCCUUACGGGCUGGGCUACACACGUGCUACAAUGGCGGUGACAGUGGGCAGCCAACCAGCGAUGGUGAGCUAAUCCCAAAAAGCCGUCUCAGUUCGGAUUGCUCUCUGCAACUCGAGAGCAUGAAGUUGGAAUCGCUAGUAAUCGUGGAUCAGCAUGCCACGGUGAAUACGUUCCCGGGCCUUGUACACACCGCCCGUCACACCAUGGGAGUUGGUUCUACCCGAAGGCGUUGCGCUAACCUAGCAAUAGGAGGCAGGCGACCACGGUAGGGUCAGCGACUGGGGUGAAGUCGUAACAAGGUAGCCGUAGGGAACCUGCGGCUGGAUCACCUCCUU
rnacentral:rRNA from 1 species